UCAAGUUCAAUCGAGUCCAUCUCUCCUAGGAACGACUAAAUUACGAGAGGUUUGUGGUGUUGGAAAGAAGUCACAUAAAUCUGUAUCAUCUCCGAAAACCACAAUCAGAUUGAAUCAUAUAGGCUCAGAUUUUUUAUACAGUUAUAUAGCUUUAAUUCCACAAUAUGAUGCAAUUUCAUGACCAUAAUACGCCGCAUCCACAUCUAAAGAUAGUGAGCGACCAACGAAAUUUGAAUGCCAAAAUUUUAGUUUUGGAGGUUUAACCUCUGGCAACCGGCAUCUUCUUGCUUGAUAGUGGAUCGUCGGAUGAAUCUCUUCAACUUAAAGAAUGGUCCCAGAUGGAUAUCAAAGACAUCAUGAAAAACUUCUCGAGUGAGGCUAUUAGCAUGGAUGCUCCUCUACUGAAAUCCGUAAUUCAUAUAGAAGUCGCAUCCGCCGAAGAGGUGUUUCGAUAAUUGGAGUGUUUUGCCUUCUAGCUUUGGAAUCGUCGGUUACACAUCUGGAUACUGGAAAUGGGUAGAGGACGUGUUGUCCCGUUACAAGGAGACUUUGGAGUGCAUUAAGAUUUAUGAUGCCAUACAUACUUCUUUAUUCUCAUAUGACUAUGAUGACAAUGUACUUCGUGCUUUUUGUGAAAUUUGGCGUCCAUAUACAAAUACGCUUUCUAUUUUCAUUGGAGAAAUGUCCAUAUCAAUUUGGGAUCUAAGGGUGAUUGGAGGUCUUCCUGUCCAGAAAUCCUUUUAUGACGAAGUCAUUC